UUAAAAAAAGUCACUGAGCAUAGUGGUGCAAUUCCUGUAAUCUCAUCACUCUGAAGAGUGGAGUAGGAGGAAUGUGCCAGCUUGGGUUACAGCAAGAUUUCUUGUCUAAAACAGUAAUGUAUCACUACUUAAAAAUGAAAGUCAACAUGUUCCAGUAAUCUCAGAAUUUAAAUCUGGUAAGAAUCCUGCAUCACUUACUACCUGCAAAUGCAGGUAGUAAACCUUUGCUCCUCUUGCCUUAAAAAUCUUGUA